CACGUAGGGGGCGAGCGUUGUCCGGAUUUAUUGGGCGUAAAGAGCUCGUAGGCGGCUCAGUAAGUCAGGUGUGAAAACUCCAGGCUCAACCUGGAGACGCCACCUGAUACUGCUGUGGCUAGAGUCCGGUAGGGGAGCAUGGAAUUCCUGGUGUAGCGGUGAAAUGCGCAGAUAUCCGGGAAGAACACCCGGUGGCGGAAGGCGGCUCUCUGGGACGGUACUGACGCUGAGACGCGAAAGCGUGGGGAGCCGAACAGG
rnacentral:rRNA from 1 species